GCCGGGCAUGGUGGCGCAUGCCUGUAAUCCCAGCUACUUGGGAGGCUGAGGCAGGAGAAUCACUUGAACCUGGGAGGCGGAGGUUGUGGUGAGCAGAGAGAUGCGCCACUGCACUCCAGCCUGGGCGACAGAGUGGGACUCUGUCUCCA
rnacentral:SRP_RNA from 2 species